rnacentral:rRNA from 1 species
AAUGAACGUUGGCGGCGUGGAUUAGGCAUGCAAGUUGAGCGAGAACCGGUUUCGGCCGGGGACAGCGGCGAACGGCGUAGUAAUGCAUCGGAACGUACCCUCUGGUCGGGGAUAGCUACGGGAAACUGUAGGUAAUACCCGAUGAUCUCUGCGGAGCAAAGGUGAGAUUCCGCCGGAGGAGCGGCUGAUGUGAUAUUAGCUAGUUGGUGGGGUAAUGGCCUACCAAGGCGAUGAUGUCUAGGGGGUGUGAGAGCAUGGCCCCCACGACCGGAACUGAGAUACUGCCCGGACACCUACGGGUGGCUGCAGUCGAGAAUCUUCCGCAAUGGACGAAAGUCUGACGGAGCGACGCCGCGUGCGGGAUGAAGGCCCUUGGGUUGUAAACCGCUGUCAGAGGGGAUGAACUCUUCGGAGGUACUCCUCCGAAGUUGACAGAGCCUCAAAGGAAGCACGGGCUAAGUACGUGCCAGCCGCCGCAGUAACAC